rnacentral:rRNA from 1 species
UACGUAGGCGGAAAAUUAAGUCAGUAGUGAAAUCCUGCAGCUCAACUGUAGAAUUGCCUUUGAUACUGGUUAUCUUGAGUCAUUAUGAAGUGGUUAGAAUGUGUAGUGUAGCGGUGAAAUGCAUAGAUAUUACACAGAAUACCGAUUGCGAAGGCAGAUCACUAAUAAUGUACUGACACUGAGGGACGAAAGCGUGGGGAGCGAACAGGAUUAGAUACCCUGGUAGUCC